GUAUACUGCGGGCCAGCGCCACGUUCCGGUAUAUUUUACCCAGACCGUACCCAGCGCUCGCAAGAUCUUGAAGUUGAGAGUGACUGACCAGAAUCAGAAUGGCGACCUGGCAAAUCUUAUUAAAAGAAUGGGACCAUGAAGACCUCAUUGAAACUUUCGAAGUAAAUGGAAUUGAUGAUGAUAGUUUCUGGCUGUUGGAGAGCGAGGAAAUUAAAGAGCUUAUUCCAAAGAUGGGACCUAGGCUAAAAUUCAUCAAAAAAUUAUCUGUACAGUAACUGCUGCCAAAAAUAAUCAACAUGUCAUCUUUCAUCUGCUGCAAAUGUCUUUCUAAAAUUCCUGGAGGAAUUUCUGGGCUAUUUUGCCACCUGAAAGUAGUCCAUGGUAUACUAACAUCUACUUGCACAAAACUUGUUUGUGUAGAAUGUAAGGAAAUUUUGCGCCGUGGAUCAUCAUACAAAAGGCACCUCAUAGGGCAUUUGCAACCCCCUACAGUUCACGCUGAUGACCUGUGCCAAGCUAAUAGAGUUCCUCAUAUUGACAUAUCUGACUUAUCUAAUGUAAGCAGUCAUGGGGAAUCAAGUGAUGAUGACUGUAAUCGUGUUAAAAUGAAUGUAGAUGCUGAUAUCGUUAAUGACACUAAAUAUGAUUCUCAAGAAAGCCUAUCAGACCUUGUAGCUGCUUUUAGCUCAUUUACAAAGCAUUUUAAUUACUGUUAACUUGGAGUGUUAUUGCCAAGAAAUCAUGGCUCUUGUAAGACUUUUAAACAAUCACUGUUUAGAAAGGGAAACACCUUUAGUUGUUAUUUGUAUAAUUUUUGUUUGUUUUAUUGUUUAUAUUCGAAAGGAACUAGUACACCUUUUUUCAACAGGCUUUUUAAAAGGUUUAGCCUUAAGAGAUUCAUUAUUUCUUUUUUAUAACUCAAUUUUGAUUAUUGUCAUUUAUAGAGCAUACAUUUAAGUUGUUCAAGAAUGCAUGUUUCUUUGAAGACAUUACAGGGGGAAACUACAUUGAUAUCAAUUUUUUUUUAUUCUUUUGAUCUUAGUUGUAAUUGAGAACUGUUAUUACCAUCACCAUGUGUAAACUGAAUAAGUGUUAUAUAUAUAUAUAUAUAUAUAUGGUGUAACAUGCCAGUAAAUGGUUCAUGGCCUUCUAGUUUUAUAGAGCUCUGUGUGAAGUAAUUACAAUGGAGGAACCUUUAUAGAUUUGAUAGUCAUAUUCUAUUGUAAUGACUUGUUUAUUUGAUUAAGAUGCCAGAAAGAUACAAUGGUAUAUUUUUCCGCUCCCAUUUUGCCCCCCCAAAAAAAGGUUAAAAACUGUCCAGUAUUCAUUGUGAACUCAAUUAUUAAUAUUUCAAAGUUUUUCCUAUAAACUGUAAGAAUGCUUAAUGUUGAUAUCCCUCUCAAGACGUCAUGUCAAGUCUUUUAGAUUAAAAUGGGAGAACACCCGAUUGCAUUUUAUGUGUAGCAUAAACAUAAUUCAAUGACACAUUGCUCCCUAUAUAGAUUAAAAUUGCCAUCAGUUCAGGCUACAAUGGUAAGAUAUGCCAAGAAUCCAUCUCUGUCUAUUGAGACUAUAGCCUUAAAAUGUAAUUGAUACCAAUGUUAAGAGUGAAAGCACUUUUGUCAAUAAUUUUAUAAAGACAUAGGGAAACCAGAGGUUCAAAAGAUAUCAACAGUGUGUAUGGGUAUUCAAUAAAGGGGACAUUUCUCAUUAUAUUUUAAUUUUCAAAUAUGCAAUACCCCCAAUACAAUGAAAUCUUUUUAGAAUACAAUACUUUAUUUUAAGAUAAAUUUUUCUGAAAGUUGCUUCGAACAUGCAACCAAUUUAAAAUAAAAAACCAAAAACAAAAUGGGGUUGUGUAUGUGAUAGGGCAUACAUUUGUUUACAAACAUGUGAAGGUAAAAGUUUACCAUUCAAUGAAAAUAUUCAAUUUUUCAAUUGAAUCAUGUGAUAUUGAUUAUAAGAGAAAGUACUAGCCCCAGAUAUACAUUGGAUACUGUGUACUAAGCCAUUACAAGAAUUUUGCAUAAUUGAUAGAAAUACAGAAUACCGUAUAGGUGGCACAAAUAUCUGAGAAGUGUUUAUCUGGUGGUCACAUGUGUCUAUUGUAAACAAAAGCUUACAAGAAAGAGUUUUUGGUCUUCUACCCCCCCCCCCCCCCUGGUGAUGGGGGAGGUAUGUCUUGAAAUAUGACACCGAGAGAGCAAAGGCCCAUUUUCUUUAUAAAUAUGUCUGAUAUAGUGAUUAGAUUUGAUUUAUGCUUAUUUCAGAUGUAAGUCAUGGCAUGUCACAGAAAAUUCCAGAUUUCUUUGUAGAGAAGUUGUAAUGAACAUAUUGCAGCUUUAUUAU
rnacentral:lncRNA from 1 species